UGUUUCUAAACAGUCCCGCUAUUCGUACAGAAGAGUAUGUCAGAGUUACUUGACAGAAUGACAUGGCAAUUUUGAAAAGAAAAAAGGAAACAAAAUGGGGAUGACUUUCUGGUCCAAAUCCAACAUUUUAUUUUAUCCCCAAAUUGGAUGAACCCUAGCGACAAAAAUUUUCUUCUCUCCACCCCAACGUCAUCCUUCUUCUCCAAAUCUGUCAGAAAUGAAACGACCUUGACGGUAUACAUCUGAUCUUGUUAUUUGGGUAUUCAUUUCGCAGCCAGUCGAUCGGUCUUUUGUCAUUGGCAACCGCGAGCACCAGCACUUGAAGCGGAAUCUGUAGCAAACUUGUUGGUGAGUAUGAUUAAGAAAUGGUAUGAAGUUAGAACCUUUG
rnacentral:lncRNA from 1 species